UGAAGUCUUUUUUCCCCAACUGUCCCCACACAGGGCAGAAAGCAACCCCUAGGGACAGAGGAGGAAACUGAGGCCAGGCCCAGAGCGCCAGGCUCCAGGCUGCAGCAGCCCCGGCAGCUGGUCCUGGAACGUGGGCCCCUGACCCCAAGCCUGCUGUGGUCUCUGCCCGACCGCGGUGGUCUGUCUCACGCGUCGGCUCGGCCAGGCUAUCAUUCCCACUGGUGCCAUUACCCUGCUGGGUUGCGGGAGGGUCUUUUGUGCACACCUCACCUCCAUGAGACUCAAGAGAUCAGAUGGGCCCUCCGCGCUGGGGAGGGCCGGCCGCUUUACCCAGUCUGCUGGUCCCCGUGCUCAUCUCAGCCAGAAACCCCCUCGCAGACACACGCAGUCUUGUCGACCCCACAUCUGGGCCCCUGUUUGUGGGCACAGAGCACGAACCACACACUUCCCAGGGUGGGUUGAGAGCCUCUGCCCCGGUUUGGGGCUUCACUCUCUUGUCGCCCCCACGAGUCUCUUCACCUCGCUGCACAGAGAGGAAGGGCUGUGUGUCCUCUCUGGGGAGACGGCAGCCGCUGCUCUGACGGUGAAGAGAUGCUGAAGCUCAGAGAGGGCAGGUGCUCCGGCAGGAUCACACAGCAGGUCCUGACGGUGCUGGGCUCCCACUCAUCCGCUGGGCUGGGCCAGUCCCUAGCCCACAGCCUCGCUCCUGGUCUCUGCGGCCUCAGCGUGGGGUGGCUGCAUUGUCAUCACCGGGGCCACAGGUCUUGACCUCAGCAGCAUCACACUCAGCACCUGGAGAAGCAUUUUCUUGUAUCUUCUCAGCUGCCUCUCCCAACAGCCUGUGGGCAGGGACGGUCUCAUUUCGCAGUUGGGGAGAUUGAGCUGCAGAGAGUGGCUGGGUUCACCCAGGGUCCCAGCAACCCAUGGGUUCUGACCCAGCCUCGAUGGAGUCAGAAUCAGUCACAUUUUCUGCCUCCCCCCUGGGGGGGCCUCUGAUCAGCCUCUUCCCCCUCCACCCCUGUUCCUGUGGGAAGGAAGGGGGUCUGGGCUCCUCCACUCAAACGGCCUGUGUGUGUGUGUGUGUGUGCGCGUGUGCACACCUGCGUGAUCGGGAACUACUCUUUGAGCUGCGAGCCCACCCUGAAUCCAUAGUUGGUUAUUUUGACCCAAACCUGAACUCCACGCCUGAACUCCAUGCCACGGUUCACUGGCCUUGGUUUACAAAAAAAAUUUCCUGACUGAACAAAAACAAGCCGAGAACAAACUUGAAAGGACAGAGAAAAGGCUCAGGGCAGCCUGGGCCGGCACAGGGCCGCUGGAAAAUCAGAAGCAGAUGGUCCGAGUGUUUGGAGCUGCACACGGGACGCAGAUGGAGCUGGACGCAGUCUGGGAGGCGGGGCUGCCGCGGACCUGCACCUGCACCUGUCUCCUCCUCCCUUGGGGUCCCCCUCUCUGGGGGUGAGGGCCUCUCAGCUGCGGAACCUGGGUCCUGGACCAUUUGGAGAAGCCAGAGCCAGGAAGCUGGGCUCCCCGGGAGCUGACUCACCCCUCUGACCACCAGCAGCCCUGAGAGGUGGGGUCCUGUCCUCCUGCUCCCAGAGGCUGCCGCUCAGGAGAGGAAGCAGCUGCCACCGUGAACUUGUAAAUGGCACGGCUGGGGUUAGACGUAGGAUGGCCAACCCCGAGGCCGAGCCAGUUCCCGGCUCCCACGAGGCCCCGAGUCGGCCGCCCCCACUGCUCGGGCCCCCUGGACGCCCACAAGUCCUGGGCUGCCAGGGUCCCUCCUGUUGCCCCGACUGGGACCCCUCCCCAUCCUCCCUUCUCCGUUGGCCUCCUAGAAGACAGAGUCUGAGCAGAGUGGGCCCUACGUCCAAUGACCGGUGUCCUUCUGAGACGUGGAGGGGACACAGAGCGAGGCGGCCACGGGGCCACUUAGGAGAGAUCAGAGCCAUGCGGCCACGAGCCAGGAAGCAGCAGGGAUGCCGGCAGCCCCCAGAAGCUGGAAGAGACAAGGAAGGACCCUCCCCUAGAGCCCAAGGAGCCAGCCCUGCCGACACCUUGAUUCUGAACUUGGAGCCUCCGGCCUGCGAGACGGUCGCUGUCUUGUUGGGAGCAGCCCAGGCAGAGAGGCUAACGCCAGGGCUCACCGCUCACCGCCACUCAACCCGGCUGCCCCCGGGGCCUGCCUUGCUGGAAGGCAGUCCUGGCUGGGUGGCCCUCUGGGGGCUGGGUCCAGGCCGCCAAGCCCAGCAGCCCUGGUAGCACAGGCAAAACUCGGAAGAACCUAGCCUCAUUCAUUCCCUUGCGCCUCGGGAAGCCUUGCAAACAGGGCUCAAGUUACUGACGUUAUUGAGAUGAUUGCUUCUUGUGACUUUAACAAUUCAAAGCCCAGGGAAGCUUCCUUUCCUGCAAAAUGUGUGCCCAUCGGUCCCUUGCAGUGCGGCUGGGCAGCCGAGGUGGGGGCGGGGGAGGCACCAGGCAAUGUGCGUGGCACCUGAGCCCCCAGGCCGACCCUCUGCACCCCCUGGGGUCCUCCCCUCAGCCCCUGUGGUGGGGGCAGGGCAAGGGGUGUGGCUGAGUGAACGAGUGAAUGACUGACAGCCCAGAGGCCACGCCCUGGGCCCUGCAGGCAGCCUGGCCUCAGAUUUAACUGACCGGCGGCACCAAAACGAAAGGGUUUAACUCAGGAAAUUACAGGCUCCGAAGCACAUGGAUCACAGGCCCCUGGUGACAGAUCUGAGGUCCUGCACCCAGGCCUCACCUCCCCUGCUGCACUGCACAGCCCCGUGGGGGCCUGGGGAGGGCUGCCCCCGCCUUCCGGCCGGGCCCCAGGGCACCAUGCCCAAGCCCUGCCCUGGCCCCGCCCUGCCCUGAGUGAGGCCACCAGCAUACGGGAGGAGGGCUGGCCCCAGUGAGCUGACCGAGGGGCUCCAGGGUGCUUCAGGCGGUGUGGACCCCAAAUGGUGGGUUAGGGCGUCUUUGCAGGGCUGCCUCCUCUCCCCCGGCCUCGCCCAAAUUCUCAGCCGCUGGCCUGCAGGCGCCUCUUCCACCUCCCGAGGGCUGGAGGCCUGGAUGAAGGCCGGGCGCCCAGCUCCACCCUCGUCACCCCACCUCCAGGAGGAAAUGUCGUUCCAGGUGGCCUCAGAUGUCCCAUCAAUACUUUGGCCUCCUUUCCACCUGCAGGCCCUCGCCGGCCUCCGUCUUCCCACCUGGACGGCAUCUCUGAUCGGGCUGUUUGCACCUGCGAAAGGCCUCCCCGGAGACCAGCCCCUGGUCUGGCAGGGCCCCCGGCCUCCUUCCCACUGAAGUCGGCGUGGAGGUCGCUGGCCUCCAACGAUGAGCCGCCCGAGCUUGGGGGGUCUGGGGAGGACCCGGCGCUUGGACCGUCUUCCAACAGAAGCCAGGGGACCGAGGAACCCGAAGCUCCUGCCCAACGGCUCAGUCGGCACGUCCCCGCCCUUCGAGAUCCAGCGUUUCCUUUUGUCGCCUCAUCAUGUGACGAAUGUCAUUCGAAACGCCCGUCAGUCCUCAGCGUUUAUCGCAAAAGCCACCCCCGCCUGGAUUCCCACCCCCGCCCCGGAAGCGAAGGUUGGCCACGUUCACUUUUCGCCUGUCUUGGCCUUGCUUUGGUUUUGCGGGUUUGGCACUUGGCUCCCGCUUCCAAAGGACCUGCCGUUGUGCUGUGCCCCUCAUCUCGUCAUCCUUCCCUCCAGGUGGCAGAGACGCAUCGAGCGCGCCCAGCGCCCCGUCCCCCAUAGAGGGAAGCCCCACUUUCCAUUCAACCUGACCCAACGUUAAUCCAUUAGUUAACGUAUGGACUAAAAGUUCUGAAUGAGGCUCACAGGUACAUCAGCUCCCCGCUGUGUCUCCGUCCUACUCUCUCCUCACCCCCAGGGCAGCCCCCGGGGUACGUUCUCCAGUCUCUUGUGUCUCCACCACCAGUUCCUCCCCUGAGCUUUUCCGCAAAGCUGGGAGAACCCACCCUCCUGUGUUUCAUGGGGCGGGGGGGACGGUGGCUGGUCCAGCCCAGUUUUCUCUCUGGAUACAUCCGUCUGGACGGCGUUGUCUCUUCCCCUUUGAUGGCCCCGAUCCUGGUCCCACAUCUUCCGGCUUGUGGUUUUGAAACUGACAGCACUAAGGACUCAAACCCAGCCUAAACCCCGUUCGGGAGUUGAACCCACGGUUGUUAACGUAGAAUCCCUCACCGGUGUCCGGACUUACGGAGGGUCAGCUUCUUUGUGUCCCAGCACAGAAGGAAAUCAAGUGAUAAGCAAGAAAUAGAUUUAUGAAGACAGGACGCUCGUGAGAGACGCCAGCGGGCAGGCAGGGGGCCUCUGCCCCGAGGGUCGGGUGGGCUCUGUUUCUAAUCCACCCGGAGUGGGGCUGGGGAAGGACCCCCGCUUCCUCCUUCGUCAAAGUGCUUUUUCCCUUCCGCAGAGGGCGGUCCUUCAACGCCUGCCCUUGGUGCUAAGGAUCUUCGGGGGCUGAACUUGAACGCAGGCCUCAUUUUAAUGACCUGAGGCAUAGCUGGUGCUUUUAUUUGUGGUUUUGUUAAGCAAGCCGGCUUCUUUCUGAUGACUUUCUGGAGCGACCAUUAACCUCCAUGGUCUCCCGAAGCCCCCUAGGUUUCCCUGUCUCUCUGUGGUCCCCUCCUGGGACUUGCACAACUGCCCGUGCGACUGUCCUGCUCCAUGCCUGUCAGCUGUGUGCUCUCCUUUGCUGUUUGGCCUCCGGGAAGUCAGCGGUGGGGGUGGGGGGGCUGUGCAUUUUCUGAGUAAGGAGAGUCCCAUUUGUCCCUGGGUGGCGGCAGGGCUGGCCUUGGAAUUCAGUGUGUGGGAACUAUCUCAGCAUGCAUGCCCCACCCUCUCCCAGCCUCCAGGAUGCAGCUGAGAAGUUCAAGUCUACCAUGGCUCCUGGUCGCCUCUGUGACCUGCCCCUGAAAACUGUCCUUUCAACGGUUCAAAACGCAGUGGAGCUUUGCUGGGGUGAAGGCGGUGGCUCCACAUCGUGGGGGGGGGGGCCCUGGAGACCCCGAGGCCCGGACGGGUGGUCCCUCCCCUGCCUCCUGCCCCUCCCUCUCCCGCCUCGGCGCCUGCGGGGCCGGUCCUCCCCCACGCCCGUCCCCAUUCCUGCCCCAUUUUCUCUCUUUGAAUCCGUGUCCUCUCUCCAGCCCGUGUCCUCAGAGCUGCCUCCUCAAUCUUCCACCAUCAUCUAAUUAAUGUGCAAGAAUUUGUCUUUUUUGCUGAAUGCUCAUUUUCACGGGCCGUGUUCUUAUUUUGUGAAGGCAUUAUCUCCUCUCAUCUCUGAGUCGCUUUCUCCUUUUCUGGGGGGUUUUCCCCUCCGUUUACUCUCCGUUCCCUUUUCAGUUGGGGUCUGCGUUUCUGUCUCUUGCGCUGGAGGCGUCCUCUGGCGUUGGGGACCCGGGCUCUGUGGCUGUCUUGUGCUCGUGGCUCAGGUUCCGUGACUCUUGGUCUGAUCAUCUGGCCUGGCCCUGGGCCUUCGUCCCCACCCCCGCCACCCUCCCCGGGCCUCUCCAACCCCUGUGUCCUCGCAGUGGCGGUCCCGUCCCCUUUCUGGCUUUGCCCGUGUUGGGCACCGGUUUCCUCGGAUGAGCCCACACGUCCUGCGCCGCUGGGGGACCUCAGAACACACAUCCUUAGCUGUCCAGCCUCGUGACGGAUUUGGAUUCCAGCAGAUUCAGAUGUCGCUGUCGCUGGUCUUCUCCGUGGGCAGGAAGCAGGAUGGUCCGGGAGGGAGGCCGUGGGUGACUGAGGCGCCGUGUGCGUCCCCAGGCCCAGGACGCAGCGCAGGACACAGCAGACCCGGGAGGGGGCUAAGAAUGAGGACAGAGUUUGCUCUCAGGCAGGGCAGGAAAAGCAACUUUGAGAGCUAAAAUUUGUGUUUCUCUUUUCUGUAAGAGACCAAAUAAGAAGGUCCUGGAGUCAACAUGGUCCAAUUUAAGUAAAUGUUAAAAAAAAAAGUCG